GGAACACUUGGCAGUGGUAGAGCGCCAGCACGUACUGCAGCGCCAGGUCCAGCGCCCCUGGCGCCACCGCGACCCCCGCCCCGCCGCCCAGGCUGAGUAGUAGCGCCUGGCCCGCUAGGGUCUGCAGCCCCACGUGGGCCGAGGGGUAGAGGAGGAAAUUGAAGACGAAGGCGUUGGGACAGCGCCGCUGCUGCAGGAUGGUGUUUCCCUUCCUGUUUGCUGAUCCACUGGGGCUGUCCCAGAAAGAGAACUACAACGCUACUCUUUCCCAUGCCUUGCUUGUCCACAGACAGGGUCUUGCUGUGUUGUCCAGGUUUGAUGGAGUGCGGUGGUGCAAUCCUGGCUCACUAUAACCUCUACCUCCUGGGCUCAAGGGAUAGUCUCAUCUUAGUUUCCUGAGUAGCUGGGACUACAGGUCAUAGGAAAUGAAACAGACUGCUGUUUUCAUGAGAAGCAUUUACAGAGGGAAAUAAGGACACUCACCAAAUAGGGCUAAUUUGAAGAAGGACACAGCUGACUUAGUAGGAAGAAGGCAGAAGAAUUAUCUCCUGGUAAUCAAGACUCUGAAAAUAAGACUUAAGAUAAAAGACUGGAUACAUGCAAGAACAGAGUUCUUAAAGAUCACCAGCUGAAGAUUGUGAUUUUUCAUUCUUCUAUGCCCUAAGACAGCCAUAUUUUACCAUUUGAAACAUAAAUAAAAAUGACUUCCAGGCUUAUUUGAUUACAGACUGAAUUGCUCUAUCAUAGGAUGACAAGCAAUGACAGAUAGGUUCCCCAUAAAGAAAAGUCUGUGAGACUCCAUAUUUCCUGUAAAAGAUGAUAUGAGGAAACCGGGCAGAUUUUUCUUUCAUUCAUACUCUUUUAUAUGGGGGCAAUAGUACUGUCAAUCUCUAUUAUAUCAUUAGGUUACCUGGAAGGUCUUAUGUUUGGCAGUGGAAUGUAAGUUUUAGGGUAAUUUUUCUGAGUGGCAACCCAAGGCCAAUGUAGUAAAUUUUGAAAGAUCAAUUAAAUUACAGAAAAGGCUUGCAUAACAUAAAUGUGUUCUGCCCACUUGUCAACAUGGGUAAAGAUAUUAAUAUUGUAACAAGUGCAAUGACAGAAUUUCAUUUUCAGACUCCAGACUUCUUAACAGUAGCAGUGGCAAGGCAUCAAACCAUGACCUGUUCUCGAGCCUAAGAAUCUCUUGGGCCACCCAGCCCCACAGAGGCCAGUAGGAGGUCAACUCUCCACCUCCCUAAAAAAAAAAAAAACGAGUGUGCGAGAAGUAUGUUGUAAUUGAAGUAGCAUACUGCCUGACACCCAAGAGGUUGCUCUGUAAGUGAAUUGCCUUUCACCUCCUGCCAUGAUUCUGAGGCCCCCAGCCAUGUGGAACUGGAGAAGGGAGAUGAAAUAAUACCAGCAUCCUGAACCUGAAUGUCCAGCUUCGCCUUGUUCUUUGUGGAUUAUAAGACCAUUGAUUAAAUAAAUCCUUUCAUCAAAAUUAUCUUAAAAAAGAAACUACCAUCUAAAUCCAGUUAUUCCAUCUGACUUGGUAGCAGUGAUGUUUGGAGUUUAGGACCUAAAGGUGAAAUGGUAGGGGAAAAUCUGGGUGCUCGGAAAGACACCAGAAGCAC
rnacentral:lncRNA from 1 species